rnacentral:rRNA from 1 species
UGCAAGUCGAGCGGCAGCGGAAGUAGCUUGCUACUUUGCCGGCGAGCGGCGGACGGGUGAGUAAUGUCUGGGAAACUGCCUGAUGGAGGGGGAUAACUACUGGAAACGGUAGCUAAUACCGCAUAACGUCGCAAGACCAAAGAGGGGGACCUUCGGGCCUCUUGCCAUCAGAUGUGCCCAGAUGGGAUUAGCUAGUAGGUGGGGUAACGGCUCACCUAGGCGACGAUCCCUAGCUGGUCUGAGAGGAUGACCAGCCACACUGGAACUGAGACACGGUCCAGACUCCUACGGGAGGCAGCAGUGGGGAAUAUUGCACAAUGGGCGCAAGCCUGAUGCAGCCAUGCCGCGUGUAUGAAGAAGGCCUUCGGGUUGUAAAGUACUUUCAGCGGGGAGGAAGGCGUUGAGGUUAAUAACCUCAGCGAUUGACGUUACCCGCAGAAGAAGCACCGGCUAACUCCGUGCCAGCAGCCGCGGUAAUACGGAGGGUGCAAGCGUUAAUCGGAAUUACUGGGCGUAAAGCGCACGCAGGCGGUCUGUCAAGUCGGAUGUGAAAUCCCCGGGCUCAACCUGGGAACUGCAUUCGAAACUGGCAGGCUAGAGUCUUGUAGAGGGGGGUAGAAUUCCAGGUGUAGCGGUGAAAUGCGUAGAGAUCUGGAGGAAUACCGGUGGCGAAUGCGGCCCCCUGGACAAAGACUGACGCUCAUGUGCGAAAGCGUGGGGAGCAAACAGGAUUAUAUACCCUGGUAGUCCACGCCGUAAACGAUGUCGACUUGGAGGUUGUGCCCUUGAGGCGUGGCU